GUCCAGCUGACGAGAUCUAAGUAGGACGAAACACGUGUCCUGGAU
rnacentral:hammerhead_ribozyme from 1 species